GACGAACGCUGGCGGCGUGCUUAACACAUGCAAGUCGAACGGAAAGACCCUGCUUUUGUGGGGUGCUCGAGUGGCGAACGGGUGAGUAACACGUGAGUAACCUGCCCUUGACUUUGGGAUAACUUCAGGAAACUGGGGCUAAUACCGGAUAGGAGCUCCUGCUGCAUGGUGGGGGUUGGAAAGUUUCGGCGGUUGGGGAUGGACUCGCGGCUUAUCAGCUUGUUGGUGGGGUAGUGGCUUACCAAGGCUUUGACGGGUAGCCGGCCUGAGAGGGUGACCGGCCACAUUGGGACUGAGAUACGGCCCAGACUCCUACGGGAGGCAGCAGUGGGGAAUAUUGCACAAUGGGCGGAAGCCUGAUGCAGCAACGCCGCGUGCGGGAUGACGGCCUUCGGGUUGUAAACCGCUUACGCCUGUGACGAAGCGUGAGUGACGGUAAUGGGUAAAGAAGCACCGGCUAACUACGUG
rnacentral:rRNA from 1 species